UUUCAAGAAAUCUUAAAUUCGUAUCAGUCUGCAGUUUGACAUUUGAACUGAUUAAACACUUAAUAAGGCGAAGAGGAAGCAAAUUAAAAGCACAUGUCAAAGGCCGUAAUUAAUCGAGUUCAUUGCCUGACCAGCACAGAAAGCUUGACAGGCAAUAAGUAAAAAAGUUAAAAAAAGAAUACAAAAACAACAACAGCAACAACAAGAUCAAAAGGUUCAGUGCCGGCUGCGAUUUAUGCAACUGAGCAGGGAGGGGUCGUGUGAAAGAAAACACUGAAAAAAGAGUGGAAGAAGAAGAGCAGCAAAGACCAGGUAACUUGUAACUGACACCCUAUCAAACAAGACCACCCACCCACCUACCCGUGUGCCGCUACCUCUAUCUGCAGCCACAACCGCCCUGUGCGACUGUCACUCAUGCAAAUGACAGACAUUUGUCACGUUGCUUUGUACGUGAAAUUGUAAAAUGUUAAUGUGCCAGACGAGCGGCAACUUAUUCUUUUUCCGCUGGGGUCGCUUUAAGUGCGCUGCUAUGUGAAGAGAGGAGAGCAAAAGAGAUGGAAGGAAUACUAUAUUCGGGAGCCAACGGGAGUGAGUGAAUAUGUGU